rnacentral:rRNA from 1 species
GAUGAACGCUGGCGGCGUGCCUAAUACAUGCAAGUCGAGCGAACAGACGAGGAGCUUGCUCCUCUGACGUUAGCGGCGGACGGGUGAGUAACACGUGGAUAACCUACCUAUAAGACUGGGAUAACUUCGGGAAACCGGAGCUAAUACCGGAUAAUAUAUUGAACCGCAUGGUUCAAUAGUGAAAGACGGUUUUGCUGUCACUUAUAGAUGGUUCCGCGCCGCAUUAGCUAGUUGGUAAGGUAACGGCUUACCAAGGCAACGAUGCGUAGCCGACCUGAGAGGGUGAUCGGCCACACUGGAACUGAGACACGGUCCAGACUCCUACGGGAGGCAGCAGUAGGGAAUCUUCCGCAAUGGGCGAAAGCCUGACGGAGCAACGCCGCGUGAGUGAUGAAGGUCUUCGGAUCGUAAAACUCUGUUAUUAGGGAAGAACAAAUGUGUAAGUAACUAUGCACGGCUUGACGGUACCUAAUCAGAAAGCCACGGCUAACUACGUG